rnacentral:rRNA from 1 species
GAUGAACGCUGGCGGCGUGCCUAAUACAUGCAAGUCGAGCGAACAGACGAGGAGCUUGCUCCUCUGACGUUAGCGGCGGACGGGUGAGUAACACGUGGAUAACCUACCUAUAAGACUGGGAUAACUUCGGGAAACCGGAGCUAAUACCGGAUAAUAUAUUGAACCGCAUGGUUCAAUAGUGAAAGACGGUUUUGCUGUCACUUAUAGAUGGAUCCGCGCCGCAUUAGCUAGUUGGUAAGGUAACGGCUUACCAAGGCGACGAUGCGUAGCCGACCUGAGAGGGUGAUCGGCCACACUGGAACUGAGACACGGUCCAGACUCCUACGGGAGGCAGCAGUAGGGAAUCUUCCGCAAUGGGCGAAAACUUGACGGAGCAACGCCGCGUGAGUGAUGAAGGUCUUCGGAUCGUAAAACUCUGUUAUUAGGGAAGAACAAAUGUGUAAGUAACUAUGCACGUCUUGACGGUACCUAAUCAGAAAGCCACGGCUAACUACGUG